rnacentral:lncRNA from 1 species
GAAUGAUAGAGUAUUAUUUGCAAUGACAUCAAGUGAGACAGUGUGACUUAGUAGAGUGUACUAUGACUGACUGGGCUUUUUCUCAGAGGAAAUUGAAAGUAGUAGAGGAUAAAUGGCUUUAUCAAAGUCAAGCAUCUUGGAUGGGUGUGCAGAGGUGGGAUAAGACCUCCACUAUAUUCUCCUGGUACCUUGCUCUGCGCAGGGCUCUGGGUCAAUGGAAGAUCACAGUAGAGUUGGUCUUUAGUCCUGAUUUUUAAUUUUUGGAUUGUUUUUACCAGAGCACUGAUAGUUGUGAGGUAUGAAGCCUGAAGAACAGAGAGUACAUUUUUUGGGAAAAUGCUUACUGUAAAUCCUGGGACUCUGAAGAGGUUAUUCUGACAAGUCAUUUUCCCUGGUGUGUCUUUGAUGUCUUUUCUUAAGGGUAAUGUUCCUAUGUGCUCAGUGGAGACAAUUAUUGCCUGUCUAUGUGAGCUGCUUUUUCAAGGAAGGAAAUGACUGAAGAAAUGGGAACGCUGUCAACAUUGAGAUGAAUAUGAGGGACGGAGGGAUAUGUUUGUUUUAAAGAAAGAAAUAAAACAGCAUUUGAAAUUUUUUUUAGAGUGUGAACUUUUUCCAGGC